rnacentral:lncRNA from 1 species
UUUUUUUUUUUUUUUUGUCUUUUUGCCUUUUCUUGAGCCACUCUCUCGGCAUAUGGACGUUCCCAGGCUAGGGGUCUAAUCAAAGCUGUAGCCGCCAGCCUAUACCACAGCCACAGCAACGCCAGAUCUGAACCGUGUCUGCAACCUACACCACAGCUCAGGGCAACGCCGGAUCGUUAACCCACUGAGCAAGGCCAGGGAUCGACCCCACAACCUCAUGGUUCCUAGUCAGAUUCGUUAACCACUGAGCCACAACGGGCACUCCUGAAUUUGCCUCUUGAGAACAGUGAUCUGAAGAAUACAUUGUGGUUUUAUUCUUCUUAUUACAAGAGGUCUGGAGGAGGCAGCCUGGGGCUGCUGAGGCAGGUCAGUGAUGUCAUCGGCGUCUUUCCACCCAGCCAUCUUGAGUGUGGGCUUGUUGCCUCAGGGUCCCAAGUGGUGGAUCUGUGUCCCGCAUUGUGGGCAACAUGGGAGAAAGAAAAAGAAAGGGCAAAGCACAGAGGGAAGUCGACCGUCUCCUAAGACCUUUCCCCACAGCCCCGAUUUGUUACUUCCUUGGCCUGCUCUGUCACAUGACUUCCUCUAUGUGAAAAGGAGGCAGGGAAAUGUAGGGGUUUUUUUUUGGCUAUACCCCAGCAUGCAGAAGUUUCUCAUGCCAGGGAUUGAAUCUGUGCCACAGCAGGGACCAGAGCCACAGCAGCCACAACUGGAUCCUUAACCUGCUUGGCCACGGGGCAACGCCUGGAAAUGUUUUAUUAGUGGACCACUCAGCUGUCUUUUAUAAAAUCAGGGUUCUGUUAGGAAAAAAGAAGAAAAUGGCUCUUGGGUUGGGCAACUCAUAUUCUCAGCAGUGAGAACCUUGUCAAAACCAAGAAACAGUGCAGCAUUGCCAUUUUAUGUUUGGCAAUGAAAACAGAACCAAGACAUGUAUAAGCUUUGUCUUACUGUAAUUUUCCAACUUAGGCUAUAUCCAGUGUAAACGAAGAUUAUCCUGAACGAGAUGGCAGGAUCUAGUUCAAUUUUUAUCAAUGGAAAACUCUUUCAGACCCCAUUCCAUGGUGAUGGUUUUGACUGGACUCUACCUGACAGUCCAUGGAACAUCUCACAUCACCCGACACUUGCUUGGGUUGAAACAAACCAUGAAUGACAAAAUUUAAAACUGCUUUCACAAAGACGGUUUGCUAAGUAACAGAAAAGACACUGGGGGGAAAAAAACCCUUGAGCUGCUCUAAGUUUAGCAAACAUCAAAUGACAAAUAUGUCAGUUUUCCAUAGAGAAACCAAAGAACCAUUUCUAUGUCCCUGGAAUCAAACGUGGCUGUGUGUGUUGGGUCAAGAGACGAGAGGACUGGAUUAGGUGACGGGAGCUCGAGACCUGGUCUCACCUCUUUCACUAACUAGCCAGGUGGUGUUCACCAAACAGCUCUAGGCAUGUCACCUCUCUAGCUUCAGUUUGGACAUCUGUGAAAAGGGGUUGGUCUCCAUCAGUGUUAUGUAAUUGAAAUAGUCUGUGAACCACAAAUGUAGACCACUUGUGCUCUUUUAAGAUUUUUAAUAGCCACAUUUAAAAAGUAAAAAGAAACAGUUGAAAUUAACCAUUUUUCCUGCUAAGCCUUGGACCUCAGUGUAUAUUUUACACAUAGAGCCCAUCUCAAUGCAGACUAGCCACAUGUCAAGUGCUCAGAGCUACACAUGGCGACUGACUACUGUUUUGAACUGUACUGUCCUGGAUGAGCUCCAGGGUUUCUUUCAGGUCUGACCCCUGGGGAUUCUAAACUUAGGCCCUCAACUUUCCUUCCUGAUUAAGGCUCUGAAUGUCACAGCCUCUCCUGCCCAAUGGCCAUCCUGCCUGUGGUAUUUUGAUUUAUAAGAAAAAUGUAGGCUUGACCCUUGAACAACAUGGAGUUGAAUUACAUGGUCCACUUAUAGGCAGAUUUUUUUUUCCCACUGAAUACAUACUUCAUACUGCACAAUCCGCAGUUGGUUGAAACCACAGAUGGAGGACUGGGCAUGAGGAGUGCUGACUGUAAAGUGAAGACCUGUAUUUUCUGUUCCCCUCAUCCCCACCCAAGUUGUUCAAGGGACAACUGUAUGUUUGGUCAUUCAGAUGACCAAAAUUUGUUUCUCAUGUUUGUUUGAGCUUUGUUCAAGUUUCUUACCUCAUAGCUACCAAAACCCUUGGAAUUUUCUGUUAAGAAUGAUACAGGUGUCUUUUGUUAAAUUACUGUGGUUAAUGCCUGUGGAUGGGGGCUGGUUGCCAGGAGAACCAACCAUGUGAUUAGAUGCUUGGACCUUUCAUUCCCAAUUCCUAACACGUGAGGAGGGUGAAUCAAUCACCAAUGGUCAAUGAGUUAAUUAAUCAUGCCUUUGUAAUGAAGCCUCCAUAAAACCAAAGGACAGGUUUGGGGAGCUUCUGGGUUGUUGAAUGUUUGGAGACUGGGGAGAAUGGUGUGCCUGCAGAGGGCACAGGAGCUCUGUGCUUCUUCGCUAUGCCUUGCCCUGGUUAUCUUUUCAUCUGUUCCUGAGUUAUGCCCUUUUAUGAUACACCCAUGUUCUAGUAAGUAAAAUGUUUCUUUGAGUUCUGUGACCUUCCCUAGCCAAUUAAGCCAACCGAGGAGGGGGUCGUGGGAACCACUGAUGGCCAGUUGGUCAGAAGUACAGGUGACACCCUGGGCUUACAAUUGAUUGGCAUCUGAGUCCCAGGAGGGGGGCCAUGGGAACUCCAAUUUGUAGCAAGUGGGUGAGAAGCCCAGGUAACAACGCCUGUGAUUGGUGUCUGAAGUGGGGGUGAGUCUUGUCGGACUGCACCUUUAAGUUUAGGCUAUUUCUGGGUUGAUAGUAUCAGCACCCAGUUGCAUUGUAGGGUAUUUCCCCCCAGCCCUGAUUUUGGAAAUGGGUCCAGAAACCUAGAAGACUACUCUAACCUGGACUGUAGCGCCCUCUGGUGUCAGGGGGAGGUACCAUUACUUUCCUGCAGCCUCCCCUCUCUGUCCUGUACUUGGCUUCUUUGUAAUCACUUCCUUUCUGCUUUUUCUCAGGUUAGCAUCCCAGGCCUCUCCCUGCUCCCUUCGUCCUGUCCCAUCGUGGCCCCGUAGAAACCAUAUCUCCCAAUCCUGCUUAUCUGGGCUGUUUAACAUUCCUUCAAUAUGGCAUUCCAUGACCUUUAAAAUCUUCAACCAAUAAAACAAAAUGUAAUGAUAUAGAUUUUUUCCCUCUCAUUACAAAAGAUGUAUUCAUGGGAAAACAAUUGGGACAUAUGGAAGACUAUAAAAAAGAAUAUAAAAAAAUCACUUGUAAUCCAAUCACUCUAAUCCAAAUGCUGCCAACAUUUUGAUGUGUUUUUCCCUCUGGUCUUUUUGGAAGCAUUUUGUAUACAUAACAAACGUGUUUUUAAUUUCUUUCCCCCCCCAUAAUUGAGCUCCUACAGAAUAUAUGGUUUUCUAUCUCACUUCUUUCACUUUUCAUUGUAUUAUAAUAAUACUUAAAUAUUGUUUGAAAACCGGAUUUGUAGUCGCUAAUGAAGUUCAGGGAGAGGCUGCAGGGCUCUUAUGCUGCUUGUUAAGACAGGGACUUGUAAAAGCUUAGUUCCUGUCUUGCUGCUUCUUUUUCCUCACCAGAGAGGUCUUGACCAAGAGAAUUACAGAUACGGGGAGCAGCAGCCAACUAUUUCAGUAAUAGCUCAGUGGGCACCUGCUACCAGCACUUCGUUGUUUCUGUGCUCAUUCAUCUCCUGAUCCCCCUUCCUGGAAUCUUAGAUGCUCUAGAUGGGCCUGUGGAGCUGACUUGGGCCUGACCGACUUAGUGGGCUCUGUGUGGCUUUGGGUAAAUGACUUAACCUCUCUGGGUAUUUCCUCAUCUGGGGAUAACAGCAGUGCUCACCCCAUGGGGUUUUGUACAGAUUAAGUGAGGGGAACCAAUAACAUGCUUAUCACAGUACCUGGCAGAUAAUGACCAAUAAAUGUUAGUUUUACCAUUUCCCUGUCAUUGGGCAUUUAUGUGAAACAUUUUUUCACUGUUAUAAACUAAUUGAUUUAUUGAUAUGAGUGCUUACUAGGUGCCAAGUAUUCUUCUAGAUGCUGGGAAUUACAUGGGAUACCUGUGACCAGACAGGUGUCAUCUUGUGGAGUUUAAAUUUUAGCGCAGAGACGUGACAAAUAAAGUAAGUUCACGUGGUGACAAAGGGCUACAGAUAAAAUCAAACAAGGUCAUGUACUGAGCUAAGGUGUGGCAACUUCAGGAAGGGUGGCCAGGGAGGACCUUUCUGAGUAGGUGACCUGAAUGACAAGGAGAUCUGGGAAAGGGCAAGAUGAAAGGCUCUGUAAGUAGGAGUUAACUUGGGGAGCUCGAUCAAAAUUCAGAAGUGGGAGUUCCUGUCGUGCGUGGCAGAAACAAAUUCCACUAGGAACCUUGAGGUUUUGGGUUCGAUCCCUGGCCUUGCUCAGUGGGUUCAGGAUCUGGCAUUGCCAUGAGCUGUGGUGUAGGUCGCUGACGUGGCUUGGAUCUGGCAUUGCUAAGGCAGUGGCUCUGAUUUGACCCUUAGCUUGGGAAUCUCCUUAUGCUUCGGGUUCAACACUAAAAAGCAAAGAAAAAAAAAA